rnacentral:rRNA from 1 species
UACAGAGGUCCCGAGCGUUGUUCGGAUUUAUUGGGCGUAAAGGGUGCGUAGGCGGCGGAGUAAGUUGGGUGUGAAAUCCCGAGGCUCAACCUCGGAAUUGCAUUCAAUACUGCUUCGCUCGAGUACUGGAGAGGAGGCUGGAAUUUACGGUGUAGCAGUGAAAUGCGUAGAUAUCGCUUGGAACGCCAAUGGUGAAAACAGCUCGCUGGGGGUGUGCUGACGCUGAGACACGAAAGCCAGGGGAGCGAACGGG